CCUACGGGUGGCAGCAGUGAGGAAUAUUGGUCAAUGGGCGUAAGCCUGAACCAGCCAAGUCGCGUGAGGGAUGAAGGUUCUAUGGAUCGUAAACCUCUUUUAUAAGGGAAUAAAGUGUGGGACGUGUCCUGUUUUGUAUGUACCUUAUGAAUAAGGAUAGGCUAACUCCGUGCCAGCAGCCGCGGUAAUACGGAGGAUCCGAGCGUUAUCCGGAUUUAUUGGGUUGAAAGGGUGCGUAGGCGGCGUUUUAAGUCAGCGGUGAAAGUCUGUGGCGCAACCAUAGAAGUGCCGUUGAAACUGGAAGGCUUGAGUAUGUUUGAGGAAGGCAGAAUGCGUGGUGUAGCGGUGAAAUGCUUAGAUAUCACGCAGAACCCCGAUUGCGAAGGCAGCCAGCCAAGCCAUGACUGACGCUGAUGCACGAAAGCGUGGGGAUCAAACAGGAUUAGAUACCCGGGUAGUC
rnacentral:rRNA from 1 species